rnacentral:tRNA from 1 species
GCACGCAUAGCUCAGCUGGAUAGAGCAUCUGACUUCGGAUCAGAGAGUCGAGGGUUCGAAUCCUUCUGCGUGCG